rnacentral:rRNA from 1 species
AGAACGAACGCUGGCGGCAUGCCUAACACAUGCAAGUCGAACGAGACCUUCGGGUCUAGUGGCGCACGGGUGCGUAACGCGUGGGAAUCUGCCCUUGGGUUCGGAAUAACAGUUGGAAACGACUGCUAAUACCGGAUGAUGACGUAAGUCCAAAGAUUUAUCGCCCAGGGAUGAGCCGCGUAGGAUUAGCUAGUUGGUAGAGGUAAAGGCGUCACAAGGCGACGAUCCUUAGCUGGUCUGAGAGGAUGAUCAGCCACACUGGGACUGAGACACGGCCCACGACUCCGUACGGGAGGCAGCGAGUAGGGGAAUAGUUGGACGAA